UAAGGGCGUUUUAGAAUAAGAGCGCUGCCACCGCGCUGCUUUGUAAAUCCAUAUUCGAUCGAUGAUCUGACGCGCGGCCGCAGGGCAGGUGUAGCGCUGCAGUCGCGCGUUUAUAUUUAUAUGGAUUUACAAAGCAGCGCGGGCGCAGCGAUGCAAGCGCGCUGCCUCCGUGCGGCACUUUGCGGAGGAAAAGGCGGAAAUUUGAAGGAGUCCU